rnacentral:misc_RNA from 1 species
ACAAUGCAACUUGAAGUGGAGGAGUCUAAGUUUGAGGAAUCUGAACUAGAAGCUUUGGUUGAAUUUUUUUUUGCUAUAAUUGAAGAUGAAGAACUUAGGAAUGUGUCAAAGGGAACGACAAACGUCACCUCUUGGAGAUUCCAAUAGAAGUUGAAAUUGACAAGAUAGAGUAGAAGGAGCUUGAGAAAAGUGUCCUAGGGAGCGAAGAACCCCAAUCCAUGGAGGUUUCAAUGGAGAGUGAUAAAUUUGGCGUCAUGGAGAUUGAAGAUUUUUUUAACUCUUUAACUCUUAUGGAUUUUGUUGAUUUUAUUUCUGUGUACUCUCGUAGAUACAAAGGAAAGCAUAAAGCUCUUCAAAUCCAUUUUGUUUAGGUCCAUCUUAUUGAUCCUGCUCAUGAAGACUACAUGGAAUACUCUUCCAUUGAAGAUUUUCAUUCUCUUUCAAUUCAAAAUACGAGAUUCAAAAUACGAGGAAGAGUUUAUUUCAAGUGGGGGAGAAUG